rnacentral:lncRNA from 1 species
GGAUAACGUACAUUUAAAUCACUAUAUUUUAUGUGAAAUUAGGAUAUAAAACACACUUAUAACUGUUGAAAAUGUCUAAUGUCUAACCUAAACAAGAAUAUUGUGCGAAAGUUAUAACUGUUUUUAUAUGUUAAAUCUAUUGUGUACAUGUAUGUAUUAAAAUGGAAUAUAUUCAUGUAUAGUGAUUAAACAGUACUUCAUUAAAAACAUCUCGAUGAAACAAUUGUGAAUUACACAGAUUGUAAAAUUUAUUUGGGUACCGUAUUGGAUUAACCAGUGCCGUGCGCCGAGAGACGAAUUGUUUUUUCAUAAUCGUGUGUUGCAAAACAUAUGUCCUUGUACUGCAUAUCUAUAAUUACGACAUUCUCUGAUUGACAGGAAGUCGACGGGAAGUGGACGACUGGUUUUUGGUAUUAAUUAUGAUCAAUAAUUAAUGACUUUCUAUUUGAAUGCUUGCUUUUGAAUGUCCUUAAUUAAACAGAUGGAUAACAGGAUUACAAAUUAUCAAUACAUUGUUAUGUGAAAGUGAUAAAUAAUAUUACCGAGGACAUUAGUAUCGAUUUUGAUCUCUUUUUGUUUAAUAACCUCGGGCCGUUUGUACAAUAGAUACAUUUGUUAAACUUUUAUACUAUGAAUUCAUUGGACUUUUUUUUAUUUUGAUAUAAUCACAAGAUAACCAUGUGUUUCGAGUUCCUGAAAAUAUCAUCCACGCAGAGUGCUAGGAAUUCGAGCCAAAAUCCAAAGCGGACAAAAAUGCAAGCAGUUAAAGGAUUUUUUGCUUCAAGUAAGUACUAUAUAUGUAAAUUAAUGAUGCAAUAUGGAAAUAUUAAUACUCUGACAGCUUAAAAUCAUUUGUGCAAAAGCUGAUUUAUGUAUUACAUAAUACAUAACUUACAUAUGCACGUACGUUUUGUUAUAAUGAUAAUAAUAUUUGUUUAUAUUUAACAAUAAUUGUUAUAGUUGUAUGCUUUAUGAAAACGAGGAAUGCUUAACACUUAUCAUAAGUACUAUUUUCAAGUUCUUUUUCCUUAUUUUCCUGUUUCUCUAAAAACAAUAUGUGUAUGGUAUGGUAUUCAAAUUUCAUAAAUCAUCAACCAUUCCAUUCAUUACUGAAAGUCCAUGAUUCUAGGUUUACACAAUAUACCUUAUAAACCAAUACUACAGAAAAACAGACCUACAAAAUAAGAAUACAGAUAUAUACACAAAAUAGAGAAUACAGAAUAAUAGGAUUCUUUUUAAACAUUUAUAAUAGAGUGAACUGGGGAGGGGUAUAGGAAUUGUGAUAAAUAACAUAAAAAUUAAAGAAUACAGAGAUGAAUGACCCCCGUUUCUGAAUGUUAAUACAUUUAUGCCGACAAGAUAUUAAACAUAUCAUUAUUCAGUACGAGAGCAGAGUAACAAUUUAUAUCUUAUAGAUUGAUUAUGACUAUACUGAUUGGUCGACCGGGCUAAAAGACGUCCAACUAGAAAUAUAUGUGCUUUAAAUUUGAAAGUUUAAAUAUUGUUUUUCGUAUAUUACUGUACGAUGGUUCUGUAUCCAAAGAGUACUUAAAUGAUAUAAUUCAUGUAGUAUGUCCCAGGCAGUGGCGGAUCCAGAACUUUUCCUAAGGGGGGCCCGCUCCAGUGAUGCUUCAGUGAUUCCCUAUAUAAUCAACCAAAUUUUUCCCACGAAAGGGGGGGGGGCGCCCCCCAGACCCCCCCCCCCCGUGGAUCCGCCUAUGCCAGGGUAUCAACAAUAUCGAGUUCGUGUGCAGAUCGAAGCCCAUUAGUUCUGCUAUUCGGUACUUGAACAUUUUACACAGAUUUUACCUUGUUGGUGCAUUGCUUGACCUGAUCAAGCGGAGUGUAAACAGUCAGUGCAGACCAUUGAGGAAAAGUUUUUUUAAGGUCGUACGGUAACCUAUAUUCACUUACAUCCAUUUCGUUUCGAAUAAGGCAGAAAGUAGUUUUAUUGGCAAUCAUACAAUAUCCUUAUUUUAUUCCAUAACGAUCUAUGUGUCUAAUAUUUAACAUCCUGAAUGUGCAUGUAACAUUUGCCACUGUACGAUAGAGACCCUUGAAAUAAAUAACAGAAGUAAACGUUACAAACACGUUUUGCAGUAUACAAUGUAUAAAUAUACCACUAAAGCUGUAACUUAUGAACAAUUAACACAUUUUCUAUAGUCGGUUCUAAAAGGAUUAAAUUAUAUCUAUUAAUUAAUUUUUGAAUAAGUUCGUAUCUGCCACUCUUUCAAUUAUUGCCUUUUUUUACUUCAAAAUUGAGAAUGAAAAUAGGGAAUGUGUCGAAAAGACAACAAUCCGACCACCUAAUAGACAACAACAGAAGGUCACCAAUAGGUCUUCAAUGCAGCGAGAAUUUUUUAUUACUAUGCACAUUUUUCUUGUUUUCUGUCUUGAUUGAUUAAAUGAUCUAACAUCAAUGUAUCGUAUCUACAUGUACCUAAAAAUCAAAACUACAAUUUUGGCUUAUUUCACGGACCCUGCAAAAACCGAUGCAGUGUACGUGCAAAAGCAUCUUAGUGUUAUCCAUUCUAAGCAGAAGUCAAAUGUACUAUGAAUAAUUAUACGAUUUCUUUAAUCCCUUUAUGUCAUAUUCUCAUUUUAUGCAAAAAGUAUUUUGUAUAUAUACAAUAUAGAUGAAUCAAUAUUACAACAAUAAACGAGAUCACGUGACCUUCCAGAUGUUACCCCCUUACAUGGGAUUUUAUCAAUAUUCAAUAAAAUAAACGGGGAAUUGAUGUCAAUUUUGAUACAAGUGUCAUCUUCAUAUGCAUUAUAUUCUUUGAAUUAUUAUCAACAAAUUUAGCAUUGGACUAAUAUUUUAAAGCUUAUCGCAUGCGCAUGUUUGGAUAAUUCAGUGCCAAAUUGAUGUGUCCUUAAAAUUCGGCUAUAACAGAAAUUGCUCUAAUCCUAACUGUAUGCAGUGAACUCUCGUUGCACUUAAUCACAUUACCAAUAAUUCCCGUGACUUGAUUGACAUCUGGAGAAAACAAUAAGGACCAAGUUUUAUUUUUUACAGUAAAAUCCGGAUUUGUCAGCAAAGGAAAAACCAUGGGUAUAAUCCUAGGAAUAUUUAAUCCUGAAUUAUCAGACUUCCAGAAGAAGAAAUUGAAGCAUGAAUUCCACGUCUUCUUUGGUAUG